UACGAAGGAUGCAAGCGUUAUCCGGAUUCAUUGGGUUUAAAGGGAGCGUAGGCGGUCUUGUAAGUCAGUGGUGAAAUCUUUGGGCUUAACCCAGAAACUGCCAUUGAUACUGCAGGACUUGAGUACAGAUGCUGUGGGCGGAAUAUGACAUGUAGUGGUGAAAUACAUAGAGAUGUCAUAGAACACCGAUUGCGAAGGCAGCUCACAAAACUGUAACUGACGCUGAGGCGCGAAAGUGUGGGGAUCAAACAGG
rnacentral:rRNA from 1 species